UUCGGUGGGGGCCGCCGGUUCUACGUCUAUUCCGCCCCGCCUUGCUUUCUGCUCCUGCCCUGGGAAGGCGGCCGGGGCUUCCCCCCAGGCGGGUGCGUUGCCUGGUCAGUGGGGCCCUCCCCUGGGGGGCGGUGAGGUCUGCCUGUCCAAAGGAGAGGAAGCUUGUGCCUCGAGUAAAGCUAUGCAGAGACCUGGAACAUGGGUCUGACUGUUGCCAGCAGCAGUCCUUCUCUUCACUCUAAAAGAGUAAUGGCAUGUAUGAAUUGGUGAGAAGAAAUAUGAAGUCUCAAAGCAAAUGAAAGAACAGAUAAUUCUGAAACAAAAGAAAUUGCAUUUUGCUUAUGACCUUGUAUUUCAUAUUUAUAUUCAACAUUGUAAUACAUCUUACAUACUUCAGCUUUGUGUUUUCCUUAACAGUCGUGUCUUCCCAAGAAGUCAGUGUGACUACAAACCUGUACAACUAAACUUUGCUUGUAGUCUAAAUAUAGCAUAUAUUAAGAAUAUGCUCAGCAAAGCAUUGCAGCUAUGACCGUUUCAUCUCUCACUGGAAAUAAUGAACACCAGAUAAAAAGUCUCAGUGGUUGAAGUUUUUCUGCAUUUUAACUUACUUUGUUUCUGAAUCUUAGAUGAAAACAAAAUGCCUUUUUGCACAAAGGAUAAAAUAAAUGCUCAAAAUGAGUAAGAAAUUAUUAGUUGGUAUGGAAAUACCUUUAUGGCAGAAAUGAAGCCGGGUUUUAGCCUCAUCUAGGUAGUACAUUAAGAAGAGAAAGGACAAAGUAGUAACACAUGCAUUAGACUUUGAAGUCCAGUUACCAGUUCACACAAAAGUAAUUCUUUUAUUCAUGUUAGCUAAUUUAAGCUAUGCAGGCAUGUGAACACAAGUUAUAAUUAAAACUGCAUUUUGCUAUGUAGCAUAUCCUUACAAGCUCUUUUUUCUUUAAAGCAUGUCCUGAAGUCCUACUGACUAAAGUGUGCUUAAAUGCUUAAACGCUUUGCUGCAUAUUCCUGAUGAAUUGAAGUAUGUAACUAAUGGUAAGGCACACAUAUCAACACACAGCUGAAACAGGAUUAAAAGCAAUAUCAGAGCAUAAGACUCUGGAAGCAGAAUAUGAGGUACAGAUAUCAGUGCCUCAGAAAAUUGUAACAAGCCUUGAACAAUACCAGUCCAGAAGGUGAACUGCGUGUCAGUCAGACAUAUUUACCAAAAGGAUUGCAGUUCAGCCACUUUUUGAAGACAAGGAAUAGGGAAAAGGUUACAGCAACUGCAGAUCGUUUUAAAGGACUACCAUUUAGUUGAAAAGCAGGAAAUAUGGGCCAAGGUACUAAUUCUUGAGGAAAAAAAUAGAUGUAAUAAGUAAGGAGAUAUGUGACUUGAAACCAACAAGGUAAUUAGGAAGUCUUAGAAACAAAUCAUAUCUCUCCAAGGGGUUUCUUUCAAUUGUAACUGUUCCUGAGGCAUUUUGUGAUGUUUCUGUGGGUACAGUUCUAUACAUCUGAGGUAAUAAAAGUUGAAGCAAUGAUACACCAAAAGAAUCCAGAUGAAUCAACUUCUGCUCCCCCACUAGGACAGCAGAUAUAUUAUUAAGCUGGGAAGUUAAGAAAAUAGCACUACACUGGAAAAUACAUCUGGAAGAACGAAAGCAAAUGUGCGUAACAAAGUGGUGUUUCUUUUUCAGCACCACUAAUCUCUCUGUACUGGGGCUAUUAAGUAAGUAACUUGCAUUUUUAAAUCACUCAGCUCCUUGGUUUCUAAAAGCAGCUCACAUACGCAAACCUGAACGGGAUCUGUACUGUAGGAAUAACAUGAACUGAAGGUAAUCCAAAUGUUUUUGAAGCACCGUGCCUUCUAGGUUUGGGAGCAUCCACUUAAAUAUGUGUAUAACCACCUCCGCCUUUGAAUGAACUGCUCUUGGAAGGUUAACGUGGAAGAUAACACUGGAGACAUUCAGGACUAGUUAUAUUGCUUUCUCCGCAAAGUGGUUUGGUUGACUGCUGGCUGCUCUACAAAUGCUGUAAUUCAUACAACAUGAUUUCAGUACUGGGCCCACUUAUGUGGGAAAGGUGGGAUAGUUUAUGUCAAAACCAGUUUACAUAUUGUCUUUUCUAAGGUUAUGAUGAGUGAUUAAGGCCGAAUGUAGCAGGCUGUUAAACAUACCACCUUAUAAAACUUUAUUCAACAGCU